rnacentral:rRNA from 1 species
GCGAGCCCACCUCCCACCCGUGUUUACUGUACCUUAGUUGCUUCGGCGGGCCCGCCAUUCAUGGCCGCCGGGGGCUCUCAGCCCCGGGCCCGCGCCCGCCGGAGACACCACGAACUCUGUCUGAUCUAGUGAAGUCUGAGUUGAUUGUAUCGCAAUCAGUUAAAACUUUCAACAAUGGAUCUCUUGGUUCCGGCAUCGAUGAAGAACGCAGCGAAAUGCGAUAACUAGUGUGAAUUGCAGAAUUCCGUGAAUCAUCGAGUCUUUGAACGCACAUUGCGCCCCCUGGUAUUCCGGGGGGCAUGCCUGUCCGAGCGUCAUUGCUGCCCAUCAAGCACGGCUUGUGUGUUGGGUCGUCGUCCCCUCUCCGGGGGGGACGGGCCCCAAAGGCAGCGGCGGCACCGCGUCCGAUCCUCGAGCGUAUGGGGCUUUGUCACCCGCUCUGUAGGCCCGGCCGGCGCUUGCCGAACGCAAAUCAAUCUUUUCCAGGUUGACCUCGGAUCAGGUAGGGAUACCCGCUGAACUUAAGCAUAUCAAU